rnacentral:rRNA from 1 species
ACUGAACGCUGGCGGCAUGCCUAACACAUGCAAGUCGAACGGCAGCACAGCAGUAGCAAUACUGUGGGUGGCGAGUGGCGGACGGGUGAGGAAUACAUCGGGAUCUACCCUAUCGUGGGGGACAACCAGCCGAAAGGCUGGCUAAUACCGCAUAGGCCUGAGAAGGGAAAGCGGGGGACCGAAAGGCCUCGCGCGCUGGGAUGAACCGAUGUCCGAUUGGCUAGUAGGUGGGGUAACGGCCCACCUAGGCGACGAUCGGUAGCUGGUCUGAGAGGAUGAUCAGCCACACUGGGACUGAGACACGGCCCAGACUCCUACGGGAGGCAGCAGUGGGGAAUAUUGGACAAUGGGCGCAAGCCUGAUCCAGCAAUGCCGCGUGGGUGAAGAAGGCCUUCGGGUUGUAAAGCCCUUUUGUCCGGAACGAAAAGCUCAUGGUGAAUAUCCGUGAGUGCUGACGGUACCGGAAGAAUAAGCACCGGCUAACUUCGUGCCAGCCGCCGCAGUAAGAC